rnacentral:lncRNA from 1 species
CAAGCGGCGAGGGGUGUUCGGAGCGAACCACUAACCGUGCUGGGUGCCGGGCGGUGUGAGCCGGGCUCGCAUCCUUAGCGGUCCCAGCGCGGGGCAUCUGUGGCGCUGUCAAGAGAAGGCCAACUUGGGAGAGAAGCAAAGAAACCACUCUCUUUCUGAAUUGUCUGCUCGAAGCUAGCCAAUGAGUAACUGAGAAAUGACUACAUACUUCCGUGCUCACAACACUUUUGAGGAACACAAGAAUAGCCAGGAGGUUGAAGUGGAGAAGAUGGAAAAUUCUGGGUGAUGUUUUGGGCGUAGGCCAGUUCUCCUCAACUCUAUCAGAGAUGGGUCUAUCGGCAACUGGCCAGUGUUCCAACUUCUUCUACUGCUGGGGCAGCCUCGCAGCCUGUUCUUCCUGAGAUCUGAGGUGCGAGAUUUUAGUGCUAGAUAGAACUCAGCCCCCUGAGAUUGCUGGAGGGGUCUGAAGAAAGAUGAUCACUUUGGAGGUGUCUCACAACGGGGAACUUGGAGGCCGAGAUCAGGAGCUGACACACAGCAGUGGAGAAGCCAAGCAAAUCCAUGCUCCAGAUCUUCAAAGGGCUCUGAAAAUUCUUAGCGGAGAUGGAACAGAAGGCUUUUCAAGAAACUGUCUGAGCGGGGCUUUCAGAGAACCUGGCUUGCCCUGGAGGUGGGAAAUCACGGGGGUCAGCCAACCAGCUCGGGGGCUCCA